UGGGGAAUUUUGGACAAUGGGCGAAANCCUGAUCCAGCAAUGCCGCGUGUGUGAAGAAGGCCUUCGGGUUGUAAAGCACUUUUGUCCGGAAAGAAAUCCUUGGCUCUAAUACAGUCGGGGGAUGACGGUACCGGAAGAAUAAGCACCGGCUAACUACGUGCCAGCAGCCGCGGUAAUACGUAGGGUGCAAGCGUUAAUCGGAAUUACUGGGCGUAAAGCGUGCGCAGGCGGUUUGCUAAGACCGAUGUGAAAUCCCCGGGCUCAACCUGGGAACUGCAUUGGUGACUGGCAGGCUAGAGUAUGGCAGAGGGGGGUAGAAUUCCACGUGUAGCAGUGAAAUGCGUAGAGAUGUGGAGGAAUACCGAUGGCGAAGGCAGCCCCCUGGGCCAAUACUGACGCUCAUGCACGAAAGCGUGGGGAGCAAAACAGGAUUAGAUACCCUGGUAGUCCACGCCCUAAACGAUGUCAACUAGUUGUUGGGGAUUCAUUUCCUUAGUAACGUAGCUAACGCGUGAAGUUGACCGCCUGGGGAGUACGGUCGCAAGAUUAAAACUCAAAGGAAUUGACGGGGUC
rnacentral:rRNA from 1 species